CCCCCCCCCUACGGAUUUGGCUUUGGUUUGGGAGGACUGAAAUUGAACAGCAAAAUGCCAAAAACAAGAUUCACCUUCAAAACCCUUUCAUCAUCAUCAACAAUUGAAGUUCCUUCUUCAGACCCAAACCCAGGUUUUAAAGCAACCGACAACGCUUCUGUGCCAGCAGUUCGAGUUUUUAAAAGGAAAAAGAGGGUUAAAAAGACGGUGGAUGUUGUACAAGAGAUUCCCAAAGCAGAAAAUAAGGGCCUUAAGCCGUGUGGCCUACCUGACUGAGGAAUUUGCAUACAAGAAGGUGGAUGGUCCUCUGUCUGUCAUGAGCACAUAUGGACUCCGAUCCUAAAUAACACAGACAAGCACAUAGAUGCACAAGAGCAUGGGCAGUGGGAAGUCAAAGUCCACAUCUGAUGAGAUUAAUGUGGGAACUGGUAUUGCUUCCCCAGUUGGGAUAGGAGGUAAAUGAUGAAAAAUUGUGCAUGAGUAAUGCUAAUUGAAAUUGCAAGAGAAGAAGAGAGUUGGCCAAAGGAGUUUAUUGACUUUAAAGAGAACUCAUAAGUACAUGCCAAUUUGCUCCACCUUGUAAACCUUUUCCUUCUAUAUGUCAAUUGAAUAGUCUGUUUAAGUUACCAAAGUUUGCAGUUGGUCUUUGCAUCCUAUCAUCAUGAUUUAAAUGUAGCAUAUCUAUAGAUUUCUGCCUCUAGGAUGUGUUUGGAUUGUUAAGUAGAUUGUCUCUUAUUAAUGUACAUGUCCAUAUAGAUUAUAGAAUGAUUAAUAAUUUUGAUGAACAAGACUUUCUCCUAGUGCAUUUCUUUUGAGAGUAUAAACUUCUGAAUUACAGAUGCAUUUGCUGUUGAUGUGUUUGAUGUGAUACAGGGAAUGCACCUGCUAACUGGGAAAGUGCUUGAAGGAAUCCGUAAAAUAAGGUCUGCAGAAGAUGCACCUGUAGACACUAUGGGAUGUGAGAAAGCUGGCAGUGUUCUUCCUCCUAAGGUUGGGAAGAUAUAAGAGAAGCCAAGAAAAUCUUCUUGUCUCUUUCAUUAUGUCUGAACCAACGUUAAGUCAUUGCUACCCCUAGCAGCCAAGCAUGUUACAGUUGGCAUUGCUCUGGAUCUCGUAAUAAUAGACCAGACCUGGCACGGCUAGGAUAGAAUAGAAGUAAGCCCUAGCAAGUUUCAUUCAUACAUGGCUUUUCCCAUUAUUUUUAUGCACGCCUACGACUUUUUUUUUGUAAUUUAGAUUUUGAAA